rnacentral:misc_RNA from 1 species
GAUGAAGAACGUAGCGAAAUGCGAUAAGUAGUGUGAAUUGCAGAAUUCAGUGAAUCAUCGAAUCUUUGAACGCACAUUGCGCCCCUUGGUAUCCCGAGGGGCAUGCCUGUUCGAGCGUCAUUUCACCACUCAAGCCUGGCUUGGUGUUGGGCGACGUCCCCUUUGGGGACGCGCCUCGAAACGCUCGGCGGCGUGGCACCGGCUUUAAGCGUAGCAGAAUCUUUCGCUUUGGAAGCCGGGGCCCCGUCUGCCGGAAGACCUACUCGCAAGGUUGACCUCGGAUCAGGCAGGGAUACCCGCUGAACUUAAGCAUAUCAAUAAGCGGAGGA